AGCCCAUGAUGAGGGCACAACCUUAACAUUUCCUUAAAUUUCUCUCAUGCCUUGUAGAGAUUUCUGCCCUUCUGAGUAAAACUUAUGAUUUCUCAGUUGGGUU